ACGCUGGCGGCGUGCCUAAUACAUGCAAGUCGAACGGUCUUUCUAUGGAAGCUUGCUUCCACUGAGAAGAUAGUGGCGAACGGGUGAGUAACACGUGGGUAACCUGCCCAUAAGAGGGGGAUAACAUCCGGAAACGGGUGCUAAUACCGCAUAGUUUUUCUUGAUCGCAUGAUUGAGAAAGGAAAGACGGCCUUUGUGCUGUCGCUUAUGGAUGGACCCGCGGCGUAUUAGUUAGUUGGUGAGGUAAUGGCUCACCAAGACGAUGAUACGUAGCCGACCUGAGAGGGUGAUCGGCCACAUUGGGACUGAGACACGGCCCAAACUCCUACGGGGGGCAGCAGUAGGGAAUCUUCCGCAAUGGACGAAAGUCUGACGGAGCAACGCCGCGUGAGUGAAGAAGGUUUUUCCGGAUCGUAAAACUCUGUUGUCAGAGAAGAACAAGUUGGAGAGUAACUGCUCCAGCCUUGACGGUAUCUGACCAGAAAGCCACGGCUAACUACGUGCCAGCAGCAGC
rnacentral:rRNA from 1 species